rnacentral:rRNA from 1 species
CGGAGGAAUUUCCACUGAACCUUAUCAUUUAGAGGAAGGAGAAGUCGUAACAAGGUUUCCGUAGGUGAACCUGCGGAAGGAUCAUUGUCGAACCUAUCACAUCAAGGAAGACCCGCGAACACGUUGAUCACACACUCCGCCUCCGCGUGCCGGGGCUCGACCCUCGCACUGCGGAGCUAAACAACAAACCCCGGCGCGGAAUGCGCCAAGGAACACGAAAAACACCGAGCGCGCCCCGGGCGUCCCGGAGACGGGCCUCGUCGGGGGAGUGCGUCUCGAGAUACUACGUCGUAUGUAUCCACAACGACUCUCGGCAACGGAUAUCUCGGCUCUCGCAUCGAUGAAGAACGUAGCGAAAUGCGAUACUUGGUGUGAAUUGCAGAAUCCCGUGAACCAUCGAGUCUUUGAACGCAAGUUGCGCCCGAAGCCAUUAGGCCGAGGGCACGUCUGCCUGGGCGUCACACAAAAGUUGCCCCAACCAACCAAAAGUUGCGGGGCGGAGGAUGGCCUCCCGCAGACGAGCGCUGCGGCUGGCCCAAACACGAGCCCGCGGGAGUCCCCCUUCGCGUUCACCUGUGGAAAGCCGUCACAAGCUCCGGGACGCGCAGGACCCUCCCGCGGCGAACGACCCAAGAGCGAGCGAGCACCGCCCGCUCCCAACGCGACCCCAGGUCAGGCGGGGCUACCCGGAGUUUAAGCAUAUCAAUAAGGGAGGGGGGUAAGAUAUA